UUGUGAGACACCAUGUGGUGCUGGGACUUGAACUCAGAACCUCAGGAAGAGCAGCCAGUGUUCUUAACCUCUGAGCCAUCUCUCCAGCCCUGGUGUAUCACUGUUAAGAAAUAAAGAUAUAUAUUAGCUGAGCAUAGUUGGGCAGAUUAUAAUAAAAAGUACUCAGAAGACUGAUGCAGAAGGAUCUCAGAGUAGAUCCUAGCCUGGGCUGCAUCUGGGAAUCCUGUCUCAAAACAAAACAAAACAAAACAAAAACCCACAAACAUACAGAUGUGUAUAUGUGACUUAUGCUUGGGUUAAAAUAUCCUUUUAUUUCUAUUUCACUAAAAUUAUCCUUAUCAAUAAUUGAUUUUUAAGCCAUGCAUGAUAUUGUAUGCCUUUAAUCCCAACACUCUAGAAGCAGAGGCAGGUGAAUCUCUGAGAUUGAGACCAGCCUGGUCUACAGAGAAAGUUCCAGGCUAAGUAGGGCUACAUAGCGAGACCCUGCCUUAAAGUAUAGUAAGUAUUUACAGUUUCCUCAUAGCUUAAAUUAUCAUGCUGACUUGUUCAUCACAGCUCUAUGUUUCUGUUAUUUUAGGCUUCACUUCAAGGCCAGUAGGCUCACAUUGAGCCUCCAUUGAUAAGUAUCUGAUGUGUUGUCUGCCACUUACUGACCAGCUUAUUUAUUUAUUUUAUUAUAGGUUUUGUUUGUUUUUGCAUUUUGAUACAGGGUCUCAUGUAUCGUAGUCUGGAUUUAAAAUUGUUCUCUAGCCAAGGGUGACCUUGAAUUCCUUCCUGAUUCUCCAGCCUCCACUUCUCCAGCACUGGGAUGAUAGGCAUGUUCACACAGUGCUGGGAUUGGAAUACAGAACUCCCCUCUAGGCAACUACUCUAUCAGCCGAGCUGUAUUCCCAGCCCAGUAUACAAGCUAACUAAAUUUGAUCUGAAAUAUUCACUGAGCAUCUGUAUGUGGUCAGCCCUGUCUCACUCAGCUGAGGUGAGUAUCCAUGAGAAGCAUAAUAUAGAUAGAAAGUUUACAAAUAAGUAAGGAUGAGACCAACUUUUAUUUUUUAAAAUGUGAUGGAGGUAGCUCAAUGGAAAGAGCAGCAGAUUGUGCAUCUGAAGAUUAGUGGAUGCAGGUGUAGCUCAGUGAAAGAGCAAUUACCUGGGUUGCUUGAGGCCUUGAGUUUAAUCCCUAGCACCAAAAUAGAAGAAACACCAUGAAGUGUUGUGGAACAUUAUUUUAAGAUGUGUUACAUUCGUUUAUGCUGUGGAAUAGUCGGUUAGUGAUCCAAAGAUGUGUUGCAUUCUUUUAUGUUGAAUGUGUUUAACUCUGUAAAGCUGUGUUACUUUGUUUAGAACACCUGAUUGGUCUAAUAAAGAGCUGGAUGUCUAGUAGCUAGGCUGGAGAAAGGAUGGGCAGGAUGGCAGGCAGAGAAAAUAACUAGGAGGAGAACUUGAGGCUCAAGUGAAGAGAAGAGCUAGGACCAAGAAAAGAAAAAGGAGGAGAGGAGGAUGCCAGGGGCCAGCUAGUCAGCCACACAGCCAGCCAUGGAGUAAGAAGGAAAGCAAGACAUAUAGAAUAAAAGUAAAAAGCCCAGAAGCAAAAGGUAGAGAGGAUAAUUUUAGUUACAAAAGCUGGCUAGGCUAAGGCUGGGCAUUCAUAAGAAAGAAUAAGCUUCCUUGUAUUUAUUUCAGAGCUGGGUGGCAGACCCCCCAGAAAAGCAAAGAAGAGUAAAAACAAGCAACAACAAUGAAGUGCCAAAGGAACACAGAAAAUCCAACCACUGGAGUUUGAGUGUCUGUGCUAGCAGAUAAUAAUAAUCCUGCUUUCUUCGUGGAAUGCAUAUGAAGGGGCGGGUGGAGAAUAAUACAGCCAGACCCUCCGAGGGCAUGGCUCAAUUACUAGACAGGGUAGGGCAGCAGGGCUGGAGAAGGCUGCAGAAAAGUUCAGUGCUUCCCAUGGCCCUGUGGCCCCAACAUGCACUCAUCCAUUCCAAAUCAAAAGUAAAGUGAUUCCAUGUCACUGCAGUUAGAAUAGCCAUUAUGAAAAUACUGAGAGUUCUUACUGAUGGAGAUGAUGAGUAAAGGGAACUCAGCUUCAGCUACAGUUGGAAAGGACACAAGUUAACAAAUACACCCUGGAAAACAAUCUGGGGUCCUCAAAAAAAAAUUAAGCCCACAACUUCCUUAUGAUCCAACCAUCCCUGGAUAUAUCCCUGCAGGAGAUGACAUUGGUAUAUGAAAUGAGGAGAUGUUGGCCCUGCCAUGUUUACUGCAGUGCUAAUACACAGUAGCUGUCUUAGUUACUGUUCUAUUGAUGUGAAGAGACACCGUGACCAAGGCAACUUAACACUAAAAAGCCUUUAAUCGGGUGCUUGCUCGCAGUUUCAGAGGGUUAAUCCAUGAUCGACAAGGUGAGAAGCAUGUUGACAGGCAGGCAGGCAUAACCAAUAUGAACUUUGAGUUUUCUCCCCUGCAGAUGAUUUUUGUUUACUUCAUGGAAAGGUAAUCACUACUCCUUGGAAGUAAAAAUUAACUCAGAUGAACUGAGUGUAAUUUUGACAACAUUAUAGUCUUUAAUAUUUUUAAAAGAAUUCAUAUGCACGAGUGUUUUACCUACAUCUAUGCCUGUGCAACACUUCAUGCAGUGCCUUUGGAGACCUGAAGAAGGCAUGGGAACCCCUGGAACUAUGUAGGCUCUCAGCUACUGCUCCAGUGGCACACUUUCCUGCCUUCUGUCAUACUCCCCAACAUGAUGGCUAUGGACUAAAGCUCUGAACUAACCUUCAUCCAGUGACUGAUGGAAGCAGAGACAGAUACCCACAGUUAAACACUGAAC